AUUUUGAAUAAUAUGAACAUAUUAUAUGAACAUACUACGAUUGUGGUAAAAAUGUGAAAGAAAAUGUCUCAGGUAAAUUUAAUAUGGAAUAUUAAGUCAAUUCAUUAAAUAGCAUACAAAUGAUUAAUAAUAUAUUUGUUCUCAUAUGUGUUGGAAAUAAAUGGAUCAGUGUUCCAACCACCAACCCAUUAAUCCUACACUUAAUGGUCAGAUCAUCAUAUUUGGGUUUGUUCAUGUGGACAAGCAGACACAGAGAAGACAAAAAAGGCAGAGAAGAGGGGAUAAUAUAGGUAGAGGAGAAGGUUAAGCAGUAUAUUCCAUUUAGAUGUGAAGACAUUAAAUGCUCAGCCGUUGGAUGUGAUAUCUGGAGACUAAGAGGAAGAACAUAGGGGUCACUGCAUUGUAAAACUUGAUAAGCAUUCAGAAAGAAAUGAUAGUAUAGUCAUAAUCAUUAGACUACUGAGUUUUUUAGUAGCACCUGUUUAUUAUUAUCAUUGCUAAUGGUCUACAACUAGAAAAGCAUAAUAACAAGAAUAAUAGAGAGGAGGCCAAUGGGCAAAAUGUCAGCCAUACAAAGAACACACUGACAAAGGGUAAUGUAUAGUUGGAGGCUACCUGAGAGAUCAUAAGCAGCAAUAGGAUAGUCAUUAUUGGACCAAAUAGGGACUUUUGAAAGUAAAUAUUAAUCACACUUUUGCAGCUGUUGGGCACACACACACACACACACACACACACACAUAUCUUAUAUAUAGAACAAAAGUGAAAAUUACUGCACUCCCACGUCUUCAUACAAUUGAAAUAAAAAAUAACUUUUAAUUUAUAUAAUUAAAAAACAUAUAUCGACGUUUCAUCCCCUAUACAUGGGCUUUCAUCAGAAUGGCAAUACAAUUUUAAAAUUGUUAUUGUGUAUGGGGGCUAAAACGUUGAUAUAUAUUUUUUAAUGGUAUAAAUUAAAAGUUAUUUUUUAUUUCAAUUGUAAGAAGACUUUGGAGUGCAGUCAUUUUCACUUUUGUUCUGUUUUCUGUGCCUGACCAGCACCGGGCAUUUACAUUCUCAAUCCAGGAGUGCAAGCAUUCUGUAUAUUUUGUGUAUGUUAAAUAGAUAUAUACAAUAUUAUAAACGCAACACUUUUGUUUUUGUCCCCAUUUUUCAUGAACUGAAUUCAAAGAUUUAAGACUUUUUCUAUGUACACAAAAGGCCUAUUUCUCUCAAAUAUUGUUCACAAAUCUGGCUUAAUCUGUGUUAAAUUGAGCACUUCUCCUUUGCUGAGAUAAUCCAUCCACCUCACAGGUGUGGCAUAUCAAGAUGCUGAUUAGACAGUUUUAUCACACAGCACAAUGCCACAGAUGUCGCAGGUUUUGAGGGAGCAUGCAAUUGGCAUGCUGACUGCAGGGAUUUCCACCAGAGCUGUUGCCCAUAAAUUGAAUGUUCAUUUCUAUACCAUAAGCCGUCUCCAAAGGCGUUCCAGAGAAUUUGGCAGUACAUCCAAUUGGCCUCACAACCGCAGACCACGUGUAACCACACCAGCCCAGGACUCCACAUCCAGCAUCUUCACCUCCAAGAUCGUCUGAGACCAGCCACCCAGACAGCUGUUGCAACAAUCGGUUUGCAUUACCAAAGAAUUUCUGCACAAACUGUCAGAAACCAUCUCAGGGAAGCUCAUCUGCAUGCUCAUCAUCCUCAUCGGGGUCUCGAUCUGACUGCAGUUCAUCAUCAUAACCGACUUAAAUGGGCUAAUGCUCACAUUCUAUGCGAAGGAGAUGUGUUGCACUGUGUGAGGCAAAUGGUGGUCACCCCAGAUAUUGACUGUUUUCCUGACCCCCCGGACAGCCCCAGUGCAGAAAAAUUGCACAUUUUAGAAUGGCCUUUUAUUGUGGCCAGCCUAAGGCACACCUGUGGAAUAAUCAUGCGGUAUGGUCAGCAUCUUGAUAUGCCACACCUGUGUGGUGGAUGGAUUAUCUCGUCAAAGGAGAAGUGCUCAUGAACACAGAUUUAGACAGAUUUGUGAACAAUAUUUGAGUCAUAUAUAUAUAUAUAUAUAAUCUAAUUUUGUAAUUUUUUAAAUUAUUUUUCUACUUAUUUGCUUUGUUUCAUUAUUAUUUCUUUUUCUCAUUUAACUUUCUUUCUAUUUUUCUUAUUUCUAUUUUUUUAUUAUAUUUAUAUAUUUUUACAUUUAUUGCAUUCUAUUAUAUUUUUUUGUUCAUUUGUUCUUUUCAUAUUUAUUAUUUACUUUCAUUUGGUCUGUUACAUAUGUUAUGCAUAAAUAAACAUUUCUUUUCUUCAGGGAUUAUGUGUCUUUACUGGCUGCUCAGUUUUCUCUUUCUUCCUCCGAUGAAUGCAUACGUGAAUCGCAUGUCACGUGUAGGCCUCACUCUAAGAAGCCUGGAUCUAUGCAAGUUUAGAUUAGAUAGCAACGGAAUAGCACUGGUUUUGCUUGAACCGCUUUUCCAUGUCCAAGUCUUAUUUUCAGUGAUUUUCCUCAUGCACAGUGUUGAUUAUAAGGAUACUCCGAUUGCAUGUUUAUUUUUCCUUCAAUGAUCUCUUCUCUUCAUUCAUUGGUUUUGUUUUAGUAUACCAGGGGCUUCUUUGUAUACAAGUUACAUUCCGGUAUAUUUAUUCAUUUAUUCACAUAGUGAUGCUUUAUUUCGGUUGUGAUUCUACCGUUGUCACAGUACAUCACUGUGCUGUGACCCCCUGAAUCACCCUCGCAGGCCAUUUCCCCAGGUGGGAUUUUAUUUAUUUAUUUUUUUAUUUUCUUACUGGGUAUAUAAUAGGCUUGUGUUAGUUUGGGAUAUCCUCUAUUGAUAAAUGCCUUUGACUGAAACGUUGUAGGUUUACUUUGCUUUGGCAUUGGCGUACUCUCGUUUCUGUUCAUUUUUAUCUCUUGGGACUGGAAUGUAAUCCAUUGCAUAUUUUUUUACAUGUGUGUCAAUCUUUCCAACAUUGUGCUGCUUGAUACAAUUUAUAAACUGUAUGCCUAAAUUAGCCACUAUGCAUCUGUUAAAGUAUAUCUAACUAGGUCUGUAAUUUGAUAUUGGUAUUUCUUUUAUGAUUAUUUUUGGAUAAUUUUUUUGUAUGUGUUCGACUAAAAAUAUAAUUUUUUUAGGGUAUGCUCUUAUGUUAUGCUGAAUGUUUUUUGGCCCUGAAGGAACAGAGUAUUCAUAGUGAGCACCCUAACAUUGAGCUCUGCGUUGUCUGUAUUUUCUUACAUAUAUGACCUACAAACAUUUUGAUUGUUCUAGGGUUCAUAUAUACAGUUGCAAGAAAAAGUAUGUGAACCCUUUGGAAUGAUAUGGAAUUC
rnacentral:lncRNA from 1 species